rnacentral:ncRNA from 1 species
ACGGCAGAUUCUGAAAAGCCGGUAACAGAGUAAGAG